CAUCGGAACGUACCUUUUAGUUGGGGAUAACGCAUCGAAAGAUGUGCUAAUACCGAAUAAUCUCUGAGGAGGAAAGGCGGGGAUCGCAAGACCUGUCGCUGAAAGAGCGGCCGAUGGCCGAUUAGCUAGUUGGCGGGGUAAAAGCCCACCAAGGCGAUGAUCGGUAGCUGUUCUGAGAGGAAGAUCAGCCACACUGGGACUGAGACACGGCCCAGACUCCUACGGGAGGCAGCAGUGGGGAAUUUUGGACAAUGGGGGCAACCCUGAUCCAGCAACGCCGCGUGAAUGAAGAAGGCCUUAGGGUUGUAAAGUUCUUUUGUCAGGGAAGAAAAGGCUUGUGCUAAUAUCGCAAGCUGCUGACGGUACCUGAAGAAUAAGCACCGGCUAACUACGUG
rnacentral:rRNA from 1 species